AAAAGUAGCGCGCUCAGACCAGCUCGCUCACUCUUUUCCUCUUCCAUUUUUUAGGGCAAUUGUUUUGUUUGAUAGACGAAGCUUAGGGUCUCUUUGGGUUUGCAACCCUUACCCUCCUGGAAAAAAUCAUAGUUGCUAGACUGCGACACUUCAGACCAGGUACUAUUAGAGCCGCUAAUGGACGACGAGCUAUUUUCCGCUAUCCGGAGCUCAAGCAUUUGAGCCGCUAAAUGGACGAGACUCCUGGGGUAAAGGAUGCAGAGAAUGAGGAGAAAACACUCGUAUGGAGCAGGGAGUAGGUAUUGUACUACUUCCUGGUAUGGAGCACUGAGAAGCGCUUGGUGACAUCGUCCAAGAUCGACAGGGAUGGCGGGUCACCUGCCGUGACGCUGUCGACGCUAUUGUCCAGUCCCGCAUGGAGCCUGUGGUGAAGCCCCUCAUUUGUGGCACUUGUGCGCGCAGUUUUCGUCGGCCACAGGAUAUUGCGACGCACAAGUGUAACGCUGUUCGCGCGGCCCGCGCGCGCUGAGUAUGGCGUUCCCCGCCCGGUGGACAACACAUCUCCUGGUCUGCCCCGUAUGGGGCCACAUAGCCAGUCAUGGCAGUGGAAGAAGGAAUGAAGGAAGCUUUCACCGUCCAGGAGCGACACUGACUCGCACUGCUAUCUGGUGCUCACAAGGUGUUUGUCGCGCUGCAAACGGAGCGUCUCUCAUUAGGCGAUUUGAUCGCAGGACGAGAGAGGAGCUGAUGGACGAUCUCUCCAAUGUUCCUCUUGGUUCGGAGCGGCGCCGAGUGCUGACGUUGGGACUUGGCCGGUGUGUGCACACCGCUAGCUAAACCGACCAACGGCUACUCCCAGGGCACAAACUAUUCUGCUGGAGGCAGCGUCGUCUUCGGCUGAAAUUCCGGAUACAACAUGCAGGGAAGCAUUGUGCGCAUCUGCCAGAUUGACGGUUCCUGGAGUGGGGCAGCUGCCUCAUGUAAUCCCAUUCAACUGCAGUGCCAGUCUGGCUACCCGCCCUGCCUGCGUUCCAGUGGCUGUAUCCUGCCAUCACAGCGCUGCGACGGUGUUUGGUACGACUGUGCUGAUGGCUCUGAUGCACAGUACUGCCCAGGCAAGGUCACACCAGCUCCAGGUCAAACCGACUGCCAGGUCCUGUCACCACCGGCACUGGGCUCAAUGACCGUGAACGGCUUGAUGUUCAGCAACACGACCACGUUUGUGUGCACAUCUCCCUAUGUCCUUAUGGGCUCGGCCGUGCGUACUUGUGAAAUCAACGGCCAGUGGAGCGGUGUGCAGCCAACUUGCGUCCUGACGACUGCUGCUCUGAGUGCGGCCAGUGACGAGCUAGUCAAGGACUCCGUCUCAGAACGCAUGACACAAACGUCUCCCGCUCCAUGCCCAUUGUUGGAGCGACAGUCCUGGAAUCCAGAGUUGCAAGUGAGGUGGUGAUACGGCAAGCAGACGGUGGCAAAGUACGGCUUAAAAGCUCUACAUCUGGCAAGUGGCCGGCAUACCACCCCAAUGGACAUCGGAACAGUACACGUAGAGUAGCAUCUCUACGUGACAGGGUAUGAGCGCAAGCCAGUAUUGCCAAGCACUGGGGACCUUUGGCAAUCUGAAGAAUGUUUUGUCCGAGAAUCGAUCCUUGGAUCUGUGGCGUUGCAGUUGUGGUGCUCCCGACCCUCUUGCGCG